rnacentral:lncRNA from 1 species
UAUAUAUAUUACUAUACUAUUGAUAGUACCAAGUGCUUGCUAUUAUCGAGUUUUCGCUUAUUGGAUAAAAGAUUGUGUGGUUAGGAUGAUAGUGACCCAAAAACUCGAGCUAUUAGAAAUACGCAACCAAUUCACUUAAAACGUACAGAAACAGCGCCCACGGGUCUCGACAAUCCCCCCUCCAGCACCUGGACAUAUUUGCAGCAUGCAGGAAUCGAACCCGUGACCUCUGGCUCUGAUACCACUUGUCGGAUUGUUGGCGCUAACCAUUAAUCCCAAAAGCUCGAGCUGUUAGAAAUACGCAACCAAUUCACUUAAAGCGUACAGAAACAGCGCCCACAGGUCUCGAUUGUGACUCGGCCUACCUGGCCUCACGCCACUUCGAACAUGACUCGGCCGAACCCAGCCUCACGCCAUUUCGAACAUGACUCGGCUCACAUGGCCUCCCACCACAGGGCAGGAUGCUGGCCCAUUUAAGCUAACAGAUCUAACAGUAGAAAACUCAAUAGUAUCAAGAGAUUGGUACUAUCGAUAGUAUAGUAGCCGUACUCUAUAUAUAUCUUUUCUGUGUUACACCACUCAUUUUGUCUUAUCGGAUCAAAAUGUGAGUAGCGGUAAGAUUUUCAACUGGAUGUUUAUGGAUAUUUUUAGAAGGUAAAAAUAUACCGAAGUUACGUCAUCUAUGGACCAUUUUGAAUUAACUAUCCAAACUUUUAAAAUUUUAUUUUUACUAUCCAAUUUUUACAUUUAUUUGAUUUUAGUCGGUCGACGGUGCUUUGACUUCAAAAUUUAAGAUAAUUAUUUACUCUAAUGAAUUUAUAGUUGCGAGACAUGUAUAAAAUAUACUAAUUAAAUAUGUAAAGAUAAACGACGCAUUUAAAUGUAAAGAUAAACGACGCAUUUAAAUUUUACAAUCAAAGUAUCGUUGACUUACUCAAAUCAAACAAAUUAAGAGGUCAGUAAGUAAAAUCAAACUUUUGAUAAAUU